rnacentral:rRNA from 1 species
UACGUAGGGGGCAAGCGUUGUCCGGAAUCAUUGGGCGUAAAGGGCUCGUAGGCGGCCAACUAAGUCAGACGUGAAAUCCCUCAGCUUAACUGGGGAACUGCGUCUGGGACUGGAGAGCUCGAGUGCAGGAGAGGAAUGCGGAAUUCCAGGUGUAGCGGUGAAAUGCGUAGAUAUCUGGAGGAACACCGGUGGCGAAGGCGGCAUUCUGGACUGCAACUGACACUGAGGAACGAAAGCCGGGGGAGCAAACGGG